rnacentral:misc_RNA from 1 species
CGGGCUGCUGCUGCACCUGAUCGAGAAGGAGUUCCGCGCCCCCGAUGUGCUGCACAAGGACAUCGUUCUCCUCGACCCGGCAACGGAGCUGUGCUAUUUCACGAUCCGCAACGCCCCGCUGAAUGCCGACGAGCUGCAGGAGGAGAAUGGAAUCCACCUCCUCGCCGACAUCGCCACCUACUGCUUCGACCGCAUAACACCUAACUCGCACGACACGGAGGUGCACGUGCGAAUUGCAACGCACUGCAUGCUCACCUUCUCCAUCAGCGCCCGCUUCCCGGAUUGCCGUCUCAAGAUGUUGCGCGAGGAGCAGAUUCCGUAUCUCACGGCGAAGGGUAUCGCCUACUAUCAGGCCCCGGAGUUGUCGCGGGCGUGCACGCAGGCGUGCGCAAGCGAGUCGCGUAGCGAGAAGAUGCAGUCGGAGCUGAUUCGCUACGGAUGUGUUUGGCACCUGCUUCAGCCGCUCUUCUCCUACGAUGCCUCCCUCGACAAGGCCGGCGUCGGCCUCGAUGAGGAGCAUCACAAGCAGCUCUUUGCCAACCGCGCCGCCAUCUUCGCCUUGCACGCCAUCUACGCCCUCUCUGGCAUUUCACGUCCCCGUUCCAUAGCGUUCGGCAAUGCCGUGGGCACCGCCGCGCUAGACGGGGAGGACGUUGUGGCCAGUGACGGCGGAGCAGCGGAAGGGAUUGCCGACGACAACGCCCAGACGAAGCGGCACGCCGGCGUGUAUGAACUGCUGCAGCGACUCCUCACCCCUUUCAUUCUCUACAAGAUGGAGCGGCAGCAAGACAGCGAAGCGGAGGUGCUGAUGCUACUGAACUCCAACUCCGAUACGCCGUACUUCCUAUGGAACAACUCCUGCCGUGCCGAGCUGGGGGAGUUACUGCAGAUGAACUCAAAGCAGUUCCGCGAGGCCGCCUUCGGCGCCACCGACUUGCCCUCUCUGUCUACGAGCGUCGCGGACUUCGCGUACUCGUUGCACGCGAGCGAAGUGGUCGUCGGCGGUGUUUUUCUGCGUCUGUUCAUUGCCCAGCCGAACUAUCCCAUCCAGAACCCCGUCGGCUUCUUCAUGGCUCUGCUUCUCUUCUUGCUCGACAACGAGGGUGGCGCGGCCAGCGGGAAGGGCGACGACGCGGCGGCGCAGCCAGCGCCGCCCUCCUCAGCGAGCCGGCUCACAUUGCGGGAGGCCCCGCUGUUGGCGGCUCAGUCACUGCGACUGCUGAGCAGCGGCUACACCGAGACGCUCUCUGCGACGGCGUCCAAGCAGAUGAGGUCACUGGUUGCUCUUCUUACUCCCUCCUUCGCCGUAGACACGGCAGGCGUUGCGGCGGCAGAGAACGAGGAAGACAUACGAAGCGCUGUUUUUGUUGAGAUUGCGCAGGCGUUGUCCAAGUUUCUUUCCUCGGACGCUUGUCUGCAGGCGCUCUCGACGGUCGAGACAGCCAUGACAGCUGUGGUGCUCUUGCUGGAGCGGAUGUUGGGACGCCACAACGAAGCACACGGCACGUCGGCGCUUUCAUCAGAGGAGCCGGAUGCGGUGCUGGCGCUCAUCCGGCUCAUGCUUACGCACCGCACCCUCGUGCAGCAGAGCCUUGACCGUGGGCUCUACAUCUUCUUGCUGUCCAUGUACGCUACCUCGCCCCGGGAGAAGGUGCGCGAGGAGUGUUGUCGCUGCCUGGCAAAGGGCUACGAGGAUCGGCUAGUCGGGCCGCAGCUCUUCAUCCGCUCCUCCAAGUACCUGCCGCCGGCGUUUCUGGAGAUGAUGAAGGACAACGUGAAGCAGGCGUGCCGAAUGCUGGACGCGUGGCAGGAGAACCCUGAGCUGCUGUGGACCAAAUCUCAGAGGGAGGAGCUGGUAGAGCAGCUGCAGGCGAGCCGCCGACAAAUUGUCGCUGCCCUCUCCGCCGACGCGCUUGCGUGCUGGAAGCCAUCGGAGGCAGCCGGCAGCAGUAUGGGCACCACGCAGAGUAGCUUCGAUGGAGGCGGCGGCGACGCUUGUAGCGCCGAUCGCCGUCUGCGCCGUCUCCAGGUCGGCGGCGUGUACGUGGCGCUGUACGUGCAGCAGCCCGGCUGGGCGGUGCGCCAUCCCAAGGAGUUUUUGGUGUCGCUGCUGGAGCGCUUUGUGGAGGAGGCGAGCAAGGCAACGUCUCCGACUGCGGCCAUUUCCGGCGAUGCGGGUGCUGCGCCGGACACAGACAUGCUCGAGCUGCUGACCAAGGCGGGGGAGAUUCUGCUGAGCAACUCGCCGGGGCUUCGUGACUACAUGACGUCGCUGGGCUACGGCAGCAAGGUCGACCGGCAGCUUUCUCCUGCGACAGCGGACCACGCCACCAACGAGGCAGUCGUCCGUUAUUCGCUGCGGUGGCUGCGGGAGAUGAGUCGUUCUGCCGCGUGCGUCGAGUCCACCAGCAGCUCUGCGGAUGUGCUGCCCUCGCUUGUCAACGUCAUUGAGCAGUAUCCGGCUGUUACUAUGGAGGCGCUGCAGACACUGGAGGGGUUCCUCAGCAACGCAACUCGGCGCUCUCGCGUGCUCGAGUACGCGCUGCGCGACCAUAUUCCAGAGAGACUGCUAAAGUACCUGGAAGAAGGCUUGCCAGAUUCGGCCAGUGCGGCAGCGGACGUGAGCGCUGCGACCAUUCGCGCCGCGCUGGUCAAGGUUAUCAAGGCGCUGCUUGCCGUCCCGGACGAUGUGCACACCACGCACAUCCAGGCGUUGCUGGAUAAGAGCCUUGUAUGGGCCAAAUAUAAGAAUCAGAGCCACGAUAUGUUCCUUAUGCAGACCCAUUUUGGCGGCUACUUGACCGCCGGUGGCAACACCCACCCUGGCGCAAUGGCCGCCACUCUCUCCUUGACGGCGCCGGCGACAACGGAGGCGAACACGCGCUCAGAGCCGCCACCGCUCGAGGACACCUCUGGUGCCCCGCCGUCAUUCUAGACAGCCCACGCUCUAACGUAGAGGUACCCUGCGGGUACCGUAAAGGCACUCCGGCCAGAUAUCUUGGCUAGGGCAGCGACCUGCUUCAGCACGGCUUUUCUUGUAUUUUGUUUUUGGUUUGUUUUGUCAUUGUAUUGGCCUCUCACGUUUUUUUUUCUUGUUGCUAGUCUCUUCUUCGCCCUUUUCUUUUGUGGCGUAGGUGGAAGCACCCCUCCCCCCUCCUCAGCCCAUUCCCACCCCCGCCGCAACCUGCGCUCGACACCGAAAACGAAAGUGAAGAAGCAACAUGGCGUCGGCGAUCCGGGAACGGCAGUGAGGCUGAACCGCAGCUCUGCGUCAGCUGACGCAGUCGAG